rnacentral:sRNA from 1 species
ACACGGGAAAGGAGGUGGUCCAACGGUGAAUAUCCACAGGACUCGUGAGGUGGCUGUCCACUGACAGCACACGGGCCACCCAGUUGUCACGUGUGUCUGCCGGUGAAUACCAGGCAGUCACCGGCCUCCAGUGCUCCCGAGGAAUGGUCCGCCCCGGGCCCGAACGGCUGACGACGUCCGGGAGUCGCACUGGGGGUCUUUUAU